rnacentral:lncRNA from 1 species
CUGAGUACUCUUAGGCGAGGUUACUUUGUUUUCCACUUUUCUUUUUCAUAAAAUGUUUUCUUUUUAACAAACAUAUGAUGUCUCUAUUCUUAGGGGACAUGAUUUUGGAUGGAGUGAUGGAAAGAUAAAUAGGACACUAGAGAUCCAAUUUUGCUUGCAUAUUGAAACAACGGAGAAUAUCUCCUUCAUGAUGAGUUGCACCUA